GACGAACGCUGGCGGCGUGCCUAAUACAUGCAAGUAGAACGCACAGUUUAUACCGUAGCUUGCUACACCAUAAACUGUGAGUUGCGAACGGGUGAGUAACGCGUAGGUAACCUACCUGGUAGCGGGGGAUAACUAUUGGAAACGAUAGCUAAUACCGCAUAAUAUUGAUUAUUGCAUGAUAAUUGAUUGAAAGAUGCUAUUGCAUCACUACCAGAUGGACCUGCGUUGUAUUAGCUAGUAGGUGAGGUAACGGCUCACCUAGGCGACGAUACAUAGCCGACCUGAGAGGGUGAUCGGCCACACUGGGACUGAGACACGGCCCAGACUCCUACGGGAGGCAGCAGUAGGGAAUCUUCGGCAAUGGACGAAAGUCUGACCGAGCAACGCCGCGUGAGUGAAGAAGGUUUUCGGAUCGUAAAGCUCUGUUGUAAGAGAAGAACGGGUGUGAGAGUGGAAAGUUCACACUGUGACGGUAUCUUACCAGAAAGGGACGGCUAACUACGUG
rnacentral:rRNA from 1 species